AUUUUAUUCUGGUUCAUGAGCAUGAAGGCCGGGUGUCCACGCCAUUGUGUGAGAUGUGCCUCCCUUAAACCUUGCUACCACGCCUGCACGUUACCAUUCUGUUU